rnacentral:rRNA from 1 species
GGGACAAACGCUGGCGGGGUGCGUGAGACAUGCAAGUCGAACGAGGUGCCAUCGGGCUUGCUCGAUGGCUACCUAGUGGCGGACGGCUGAGUAACGCGUAGGUGACCUACCCGGAAGUGGGGAAUAACUGCCCGAAAGGGUGGCUAAUACCGCAUACGGUCGACGAUUCGUUUCGUCGUCCAAAGGAGCAAUUCGCUUCCGGAGGGGCCUGCGUCCGAUUAGCUAGUUGGUGGGGUAACGGCUCACCAAGGCGACGAUCGGUAGCUGGUCUGAGAGGAUGAUCAGCCAGACUGGGACUGAGAACGGCCCAGACUCCUACGGGAGGCAGCAGUCGGGAAUUUGCCCAAUGGACGAAAGUCUGAGGCAGCAACUCCGCGUGAGGGAUGAAAGGCUCUCGGGUCGUAAACCUCUUUUUCUCAGGGAAGAUCCAAGACGGUACCUGAGGAAUAAGCCACGGCUAACUACGUGUCAGCAGCCGC